CAUGCAAGUCGAACGGAAUAAUGACUUCGGUUAUUAUUUAGUGGCGGAAGGGUUAGUAAUACAUAGAUAAUCUGUCCUCAACUUGGGAAUAACGGUUGGAAACGACCGCUAAUACCGAAUGUGGUAUGUUUAGGCAUCUAAAACAUAUUAAAGAAGGGGAUCUUCGGACCUUUCGGUUGAGGGAGAGUCUAUGGGAUAUCAGCUUGUUGGUGGGGUAAUGGCCUACCAAGGCUUUGACGUCUAGGCGGAUUGAGAGAUUGACCGCCAACACUGGGACUGAGACACUGCCCAGACUUCUACGGAAGGCUGCAGUCGAGAAUCUUUCGCAAUGGACGAAAGUCUGACGAAGCGACGCCGCGUGUGUGAUGAAGGCUCUAGGGUUGUAAAGCACUUUCGCUUGGGAAUAAGAGAGAUUGGCUAAUAUCCAAUCGAUUUGAGCGUACCAGGUAAAGAAGCACCGGCUAACUCCGUGCCAGCAGCUGCGGUAAUACGGAGGGUGCUAGCGUUAAUCGGAUUUAUUGGGCGUAAAGGGCGUGUAGGCGGAAAGGAAAGUUAGAUGUUAAAUCUUGGGGCUCAACCCCAAGCCAGCAUCUAAUACUAUCUUUCUAGAGGGUAGAUGGAGAAAAGGGAAUUCCACGUGUAGCGGUGAAAUGCGUAGAUAUGUGGAAGAACACCAGUGGCGAAGGCGCUUUUCUAAUUUACACCUGACGCUAAGGCGCGAAAGCAAGGGGAGCAAACAGGAUUA
rnacentral:rRNA from 1 species